rnacentral:rRNA from 1 species
CACGUAGGGCGCGAGCGUUGUCCGGAAUUAUUGGGCGUAAAGAGCUCGUAGGCGGCCUGUUGCGUCCGCUGUGAAAGCCCGGGGCUUAACCCCGGGUCUGCAUUCGAUACGGGCUGGCUAGAGUGUGGUAGGGGAGAUCGGAAUUCCUGGUGUAGCGGUGAAAUGCGCAGAUAUCAGGAGGAACACCGGUGGCGAAGGCGGAUCUCUGGGCCAUUACUGACGCUGGGGAGCGAAAGCGUGGGGAGCGAACAGG